rnacentral:rRNA from 1 species
AGUGAACGCUGGCGGUAGGCCUAACACAUGCAAGUCGAACGGCAGCACAGGAGAGCUUGCUCUCUGGGUGGCGAGUGGCGGACGGGUGAGGAAUACAUCGGAAUCUACUCUGUCGUGGGGGAUAACGUAGGGAAACUUACGCUAAUACCGCAUACGACCUACGGGUCAAAGCAGGGGAUCUUCGGACCUUGCGCGAUUGAAUGAGCCGAUGUCGGAUUAGCUAGUUGGCGGGGUAAAGGCCCACCAAGGCGACGAUCCGUAGCUGGUCUGGGGGGAUGAUCAGCCACACUGGAACUGAGACACGGUCCAGACUCCUACGGGAGGCAGCAGUGGGGAAUAUUGGACAAUGGGCGCAAGCCUGAUCCAGCCAUACCGCGUGGGUGAAGAAGGCCUUCGGGUUGUAAAGCCCUUUUGUUGGGAAAGAAAUCCAGCUGGCUAAUACCCGGUUGGGAUGACGGUACCCAAAGAAUAAGCACCGGCUAACUUCGUGCCAGCCGCCGCCGUAA